GCGUGGAUUUGGGUGGGAUUAUGGUGGCGGUCUACACAUGCAGUCGAACGAUGACCCCGGUGCUUGCACCGGGUGAUUAGUGGCGAACGGGUGAGUAACACGUGAGUAACCUGCCCCCGACUCUGGGAUAAGCCCGGGAAACUGGGUCUAAUACCGGAUAUUCACUUCCUUCCGCAUGGGAGGUGGUGGAAAGAUUUUAUCGGUGGGGGAUGGACUCGCGGCCUAUCAGCUUGUUGGUGGGGUAAUGGCCCACCAAGGCGACGACGGGUAGCCGGCCUGAGAGGGUGACCGGCCACACUGGGACUGAGACACGGCCCAGACUCCUACGGGAGGCAGCAGUGGGGAAUAUUGCACAAUGGGCGAAAGCCUGAUGCAGCGACGCCGCGUGAGGGAUGACGGCCUUCGGGUUGUAAACCUCUUUCAGUAGGGAAGAAGCGAAAGUGACGGUACCUGCAGAAGAAGCGCCGGCUAACUACGUGCCAGCAGCCGCGGUAAUACGUAGGGCGCAAGCGUUAUCCGGAAUUAUUGGGCGUAAAGAGCUCGUAGGCGGUUUGUCGCGUCUGCCGUGAAAGUCCGGGGCUCAACCCCGGAUCUGCGGUGGGUACGGGCAGACUAGAGUGAUGUAGGGGAGACUGGAAUUCCUGGUGUAGCGGUGAAAUG
rnacentral:rRNA from 1 species